UAUCUCUCCGUACGGGGAAGGAUGAGAAGCUUCGACUAAGGUUCGAUUCGAGCGCAGCGAGAAAACGUUGCCGCAGGCAACGACCCGAAGGGUGAGGAGCGGAGCGACGAAUAAUCCCUCCCCCACCACCA
rnacentral:sRNA from 1 species